rnacentral:lncRNA from 1 species
CUUUAUCAGAACCUGUACCAUAACCCUUUAUUUUUCUCUCUCCAGGUUUAGACAGAGUCAGCCUGAUGGUGUCUAGCGCUAUUAUUCUUCUUGCCACUUAUGUAUGCCUCCUCACAGACUAUGAUAUCACAACUCAUUAAUCAGACAGCAGGCUGGCUUGAGUGAGAUCAGAGCAUGGGCCAAUGCCAGUGCUCCUUUUGUCUGAUUCAUCAGAUGGUAUUUCAUCCAGAACUGCAUCCUAGAAGCAUUAAGUGCUAUAAAGGAUUGGAGGCCUGAUCCUCUGGCAUGGGUUACCCAGAGAGCUGCGGACGUCUCACCUCUGGAG